rnacentral:rRNA from 1 species
GAUGAACGCUAGCGGCGGGCUUAAUACAUGCAAGUCAAGGGGUAGCAAUACACCGGCGUACGGGUGCGUAACGCGUAUGGAACCUGCCCUUAUCUGGGGGAUAACUCGGGGAAACUCGAGCUAAUACCGCAUAAGAUAGUAGAGAGGCAUCUCUUAGCUAUUAAAGAUUUAUCGGAUAAGGAUGGCCAUGCGUAAGAUUAGAUAGUUGGCGAGGUAACGGCUCACCAAGUCUACGAUCUUUAGGGGCUCUGAGAGGAGAAUCCCCCACGCUGGCACUGAGAUACGGGCCAGACUCCUACGGGAGGCAGCAGUAGGGAAUAUUGGGCAAUGGGCGGAAGCCUGACCCAGCCACGCCGCGUGCAGGAAGACGGCCCUCUGGGUUGUAAACUGCUUUUAACUGGGAAGAAAGCAGCUCAUGCGUGAGAAUUUGACGGUACCAGUUGAAUAAGCCACGGCUAACUACGUGCCAGCCGCCGCGGUAACAC